ensembl:lncRNA
AUUUAAUUUGACAAGGAAAUUUAUUUAUUUUUUUCAAAUGUUUUUUUUCAUGACGACCAAUAAAAUACGACAGUGUUACCCCUUAUAUUUUAAUUGACAAAAACAACAGUGUUACCCCCUUAUUUUUUUUUCAUGACGACCAAUAAAAAACAACAGUGUUACCCCUUAUGGUUUUUUUCAUGACGACUAAUAAAAAACAACAGUGUUACCCCUUAUGGUUUUUUUCAUGACGACCAAAGAAAAACAACAGUGUCACCCCUGAUGUUUCAUUUGAUAAAAACGACAGUGUUACCCCCUUUGUUUUAAUUGAUAAAUAUCGACAGUGUUACCCCUUAUGUUUUUUUUCAUGAAGAAAAAUAAAAAACGACAGUGUUACCCCGUAUGUUUUUUUCAUGACGACCAAAGAAAAACAACAGUGUUACCCCUUAUGUUUUUUUUCAUGACGACCAAUAAAAAAAAAGUGUGUUACCCCUUAUGUUUUUUUUCAUGACGACCAAUAAAAAAUGUAUUUUUUUUUUCAUGACGACCAAUAAAAAACAACAGUGUUACCCCUUAUGUUUUAUGACAAAGACAACAGUGUUACCCCUUAUGUUUUUUUUCAUGACGACCAAUAAAUAACAAGAGUGUUACCCCUUAUGUUUUUUUUCAUGACGACCAAUAAAACAUUUGUUUUUUUUUCAUGACAACCAAUAAAAAACAACAGUGUUACCCCUUAUGUUUUUUUUCAUGACGACCAAUGAAAAACAACAGUGUUACCCCUUAUGUUUUUUUCAUGACGACCAAAGAAAAACAACAGUGUUACCCCUUAUGUUUUUUUCAUGACGACCAAUAAAAAACAACAGUGUUACCCCUUAUGUUUUUUUUCAUGACGACCAAUAAAAAACAACAGUGUUACCCCUUAUGUUUUUUUCAAGAAGACCAAAGAAAAACAACAGUGUUACCCCUUAUGUUUUUUUCAUGACGACCAAAGAAAAACAACAGUGUUACCCCUUAUGUUUUUUUUCAUGACGACCAAUAAAAAAUGUUUUUUUUUUUCAUGACGACCAAAGAAAAACAACAGUGUUACCCCUUAUGUUUUUUUCAUGACGACCAAAGAAAAACAACAGUGUUACCCCUUAUGUUUUUUUUCAUGACGACCAAUAAAAAAUGUGUUUUUUUUUCAUGACAACCAAUAAAAAACAACAGUGUUACCCCUUAUGUUUUUUUUCAUGACGACCAAUGAAAAACAACAGUGUUACCCCUUAUGUUUUUUUCCCAUGGUGACUGAUGAAAAACAACAGUGUUACCCCUUAUAUUUUAUUUGACAAGGACAAUUUUUUUUUUUCUUCAAAUGUUUUUUUUUUCAUGACGACCAAUAAAAUACGACAGUGUUACCCCUUAUAUUUUAUUUGACAAAGACAACAGUGUUACCCCUUAUGUUUUUUUUCAUGACGAUCAAUAAAAAACAACAGUGUUACCCCUUAUGUUUUUAUUCAUGACGACCAAUAAAAAAACAACAGUGUUACCCCUCAUGUUUUUUUUCAUGACGACCAAUAAAAAACAACAGUGUUACCCCUUAUGUUUUUUUUCAUGACGACUAAUAAAAAACAACAUUGUUACCCCUUAUGUUUUUUUUUCAUGACGACUAAUAAAAAACAACAGUUACCCCUUAUGUUUUUUUUCAUGACGACCAAUAAAAAACAACAGUGUUACCCCUUGUGUUUUUUUUCCCAUGGUGACUGAUGAAAAACAACAGUGUUACCCCUUAUAUUUUUUUUGUCACGGACAAUUUUUUUCCUUUUUUCAAAUAUGUUUUUUUUCAUGGCGACCAAUAAAAUACGACAGUGUUAGCCCUUAUAUUUUAUUUGACAAAGACAAUAGUGUUACCCCUUAUGUUUUUUUUCAUGACGACCAAUAAAAAACAACAGUGUUACCCCUUAUGUUUUUUUCAUGACGACCAAAGAAAAACAACAGUGUUUCCCCUUGUGUUUUUUCUCAUGACGACUAAUAAAAAACAACAGUGUUAUCCCUUAUGUUUUUAUUCAUGACGACCAAUAAAAAAACAACAGUGUUACCCCUCAUGUUUUUUUUCAUGACGACCAAUAAAAACAACAGUUGUUACCCCUUGUGUUUUUUUUUAAUGUCGACCAAUAAAA